CAGUAGCCGCGGUAACACAGAGGGUGCGAGCGUUAAUCGGAUUUACUGGGCGUAAAGCGUGCGCAGGCGGUUCGUUAAGACAGAUGUGAAAUCCCCGGGCUUAACCUGGGAACUGCAUUUGUGACUGACGGGCUAGAGUAUGGCAGAGGGGGGUAGAAUUCCACGUGUAGCAGUGAAAUGCGUAGAUAUCGGAAGGAACACCUGUGGCGAAAGCGGCUCACUGGACCAUAGCUGACGCUGAUGCACGAAAGCUAGGAGAGCAAACAGGAUUAGAGACCCCGGUAGUCCCUGUCUCUUAUAC
rnacentral:rRNA from 1 species